CGGGACGUGGCGCAGUUUGGUAGCGCGCAGCGUUCGGGACGCUGAGGUCGCGGGUUCAAAUCCCGCCGUCCCGACCA
rnacentral:tRNA from 1 species